rnacentral:miRNA from 1 species
CCGGCCUCCCCUUCUACCUCACCG